rnacentral:ncRNA from 1 species
AGUAAAGCAUUGAAGAAGAAUAGUAGAAAUCGCCUUAUUCAGAGAGAAAAUCCAUAGGCUGUAAGAUUUUCAAAUAGAUUUUGAACCAGCUUCUGAGUUGUAGGUAAAAACUAUCGGUUUAACACCGUUAUCAUUAUUAGAGCACAAAUUUAGGUGGUACCGCGGAUAUAAGUUCGCCCUAAUU